AUGGAGGACCACGGCGCCGGCUGCCACCCCUUGCUCCACGGCCACCUCCAGCCGGCCCACCCCGCGCUUGCCUACGGCCCGUGGGACCCGCCCCUCGUCCCCUUCGACGACGGCAACCACCACCACCAGCAGCAGCUGGAGUGCUUCUCGACGGCGUCGGAGCUGCGGGACGCGCUGCUGCGCGCGCUGGCCGAGCUGGACGCGGCGCGGGGCGCGCACCGGGAGGAGCUCCGGCGCGUGGAGCACGAGGCGGCGCGGCUCCACCACACCGCCGCCCAGCCGCCGCCGCAGAGCGUGCCCGACCCGCCGCUCCACGGCGUCCUGGGGCUGGGAGGAGGAGGAGCGGGCGCCAUGGCCGUGGCCAUGGACGAGGCCGCCACGUCGGAGGAGGAGGCCGAGGUGGAGAUGGCGCUGGCGCGGCGGCUGCCGGAGAAGGGGCGGCUGGUGGAGGCGGUGGUGUCGGCGGGCCCGCUCCUGCAGACCCUGCUCCUGGCCGGCCCGCUCCCGCGCUGGCGCCACCCGCCCCCGCCCGCCUCGGCCGACGUCAUACCGCCCUUCAACCCCGGCCGCCCCGACGGCAACUACUCCCUCUCGUCCGCGUCCGCGUCCGCGUCGUCGUCGCCGGAGAGCAACUGCAGCGGCGGGAACGCCCCGCCGGCGGCAGCUCAGCCGCAGCACGCGCUCCCCUGCUUCCACAUGAGCUCCUCCUCCUUCUGCAUGUAG
rnacentral:rRNA from 1 species